GACGAACGCUGGCGGCAUGCUUAACACAUGCAAGUUGAACGGAAAGGCCCUGCUUUUGUGGGGUGCUCGAGUGGCGAACGGGUGAGUAACACGUGAGUAACCUGCCCUUGACUUUGGGAUAACUUCAGGAAACUGGGGCUAAUACCGGAUAGGAGCUCCUGCUGCAUGGUGGGGGUUGGAAAGUUUCGGCGGUUGGGGAUGGACUCGCGGCUUAUCAGCUUGUUGGUGGGGUAGUGGCUUACCAAGGCUUUGACGGGUAGCCGGCCUGAGAGGGUGACCGGCCACAUUGGGACUGAGAUACGGCCCAGACUCCUACGGGAGGCAGCAGUGGGGAAUAUUGCACAAUGGGCGGAAGCCUGAUGCAGCAACGCCGCGUGCGGGAUGACGGCCUUCGGGUUGUAAACCGCUUUCGCCUGUGACGAAGCGUGAGUGACGGUAAUGGGUAAAGAAGCACCGGCUAACUACGUG
rnacentral:rRNA from 1 species